rnacentral:rRNA from 1 species
GACGAACGCUGGCGGCGUGCUUAACACAUGCAAGUCGAACGGAAAGACCCUGCUUUUGUGGGGUGCUCGAGUGGCGAACGGGUGAGUAACACGUGAGUAACCUGCCCUUGACUUUGGGAUAACUUCAGGAAACUGGGGCUAAUACCGGAUAGGAGCUCCUGCUGCAUGGUGGGGGUUGGAAAGUUUCGGCGGUUGGGGAUGGACUCGCGGCUUAUCAGCUUGUUGGUGGGGUAGUGGCUUACCAAGGCUUUGACGGGUAGCCGGCCUGAGAGGGUGACCGGCCACAUUGGGACUGAGAUACGGCCCAGACUCCUACGGGAGGCAGCAGUGGGGAAUAUUGCACAAUGGGCGGAAGCCUGAUGCAGCAACGCCGCGUGCGGGAUGACGGCCUUCGGGUUGUAAACUGCUUUCGCCUGUGACGAAGCGUGAGUGACGGUAAUGGGUAAAGAAGCACCGGCUAACUACGUG